rnacentral:sRNA from 1 species
GAAUCACAGGUUCAUCACGCCGCGUAUCCGGUUGGUAACGAAACACUGUCCUACUCAGCGAUAACGUCCUACACACCUGGCGUAUGCUCAUCGUAAACUGCGCUUCAGAUAGUGACGAGCUCACGCUUUAUCGCUGGUUUA